UUGUGAUAAGCGGGGCGCUAGCGGUACCCUUUUCCCGAAAUCCGCUUUAUGCGGGGCCGAAUUCCCUGCGGAGGGCUCUAUGUGAUAGGAUAGGGGGUUCUGAUCGGCCGCCGCGCAACAGGCGGUUGUGAACCUCGUCAGGUCCGGAAGGAAGCAGCGAUAAUCAACCCAGCCUGUGUCGCGGAUCGAUCCCGGUCAAGUUACCCCCUUUCAUUCACUAAAGUUCAACGCAGGGUUCACAG
rnacentral:SRP_RNA from 1 species